UUUAAUAUUGUUCCUAACUUUUUCUCCUAAGAAAUAAGGUAGUCCAGCCAAAAACUUUUCUUUCCAAAAGCUUUGAUUAGAGUCUUCCCUUAACAUUAACCUAGUUAGAAAAGUAGUUUUAUAUUCUUGAAAAUUACCUAAGUGUUUACAUUUUAAAUUACUAAGUAAUUCUGCAUUUUUAUCUUUUAAGUGAGAUGGAUCCCCAAUAAAAUGAAGUGAAAUAGUGAGAAUUAAAGAUGACACAGCAUCCUGAAUUACUUCACCAUUUUCAUCAUAUAUAGGUUCACCUUCAUCAUUGACUUGAAUUGAAUUUAAAAUUUCUAGUUGUUGUUGUUCAGUGAGAUGAUAGUCCCACCAACCUUUA
rnacentral:lncRNA from 1 species